rnacentral:rRNA from 1 species
AUGGCUGUACCUAUCUCUAAACGGGAAGCCGCUCAAGGCGGCAACGGCGACAUGGAGAAGCAGGGCGGCGACCCGCCAGGCGGCGCGCUCCCAUCAAAGGGGCCUGUUACUGUGCUGAGUGCAUCACAUGAGGAUAAACACAACAGUGACACGUGCUUGGAGCAUGAUGAAAUUAACAAAGCCCAUGGAAUAUUGUUUGAAGAAAAAAGAGAUCCCGAAGAUAUGGACGGUCAACAUCUAUAUGAGGAACAGGGGCCAAAAAUAGAUGAUGAUUUAACUGAAACUGAAGUGUCAGGUAAGAAAGAGUAUUGA